rnacentral:rRNA from 1 species
GGAGUCACGCCAGAAAUCUUACCCGGAGAGACAGCAGAAUGAAGGUCAAGCUGAAGACUUUACCAGACAAGCUGAGAGGUGGUGCAUGGCCGUCGCCAGCUCGUGCCGUGAGAUGUCCUGUUAAGUCAGGUAACGAGCGAGAUCCCUGCCUCUAGUUGCCACCAUUACUCUCAGGAGUAGUGGGGCGAAUUAGCGGGACCGCCGCAGUUAAUGCGGAGGAAGGAAGGGGCCACGGCAGGUCAGUAUGCCCCGAAACUCUGGGGCCACACGCGGGCUGCAAUGGUAACGACAAUUGGUUUCGAAUCCGAAAGGAUGAGGUAAUCCUCAAACGUUACCACAGUUAUGACUGAGGGCUGCAACUCGCCCUCACGAAUACGGAAUCCCUAGUAACUGCGUGUCAUUAUCGCGCGGUGAAUACGUCCCUGCUCCUUGCACACACCGCCCGUCGUUUCAUUGAAGUGAGCUUUUAGCGAGGUGACGUCUAAUUGGCGUUAUCGAACUUGAGGUUCGUGACAAGGGGAAAGUCGUAACAAGGUGACCGUAGGGGAACCUGCGGUCGGAUCA